AACUGGAGGACCGAACCGACUAAUGUUGAAAAAUUAGCGGAUGACUUGUGGCUGGGGGUGAAAGGCCAAUCAAACCGGGAGAUAGCUGGUUCUCCCCGAAAGCUAUUUAGGUAGCGCCUCGUGAAUUCAUCUCCGGGGGUAGAGCACUGUUUCGGCAAGGGGGUCAUCCCGACUUACCAACCCGAUGCAAACUGCGAAUACCGGAGAAUGUUAUCACGGGAGACACACGGCGGGUGCUAACGUCCGUCGUGAAGAGGGAAACAACCCAGACCGCCAGCUAAGGUCCCAAAGUCAUGGUUAAGUGGGAAACGAUGUGGGAAGGCCCAGACAGCCAGGAUGUUGGCUUAGAAGCAGCCAUCAUUUAAAGAAAGCGUAAUAGCUCACUGGUCGAGUCGGCCUGCGCGGAAGAUGUAACGGGGCUAAACCAUGCACCGAAGCUGCGGCAGCGACGCUGAUGCGUUGUUGGGUAGGGGAGCGUUCUGUAAGCCUGUGAAGGUGUGCUGUGAGGCAUGCUGGAGGUAUCAGAAGUGCGAAUGCUGACAUAAGUAACGAUAAAGCGGGUGAAAAGCCCGCUCGCCGGAAGACCAAGGGUUCCUGUCCAACGUUAAUCGGGGCAGGGUGAGUCGACCCCUAAGGCGAGGCCGAAAGGCGUAGUCGAUGGGAAACAGGUUAAUAUUCCUGUACUUGGUGUUACUGCGAAGGGGGGACGGAGAAGGCUAUGUUGGCCGGGCGACGGUUGUCCCGGUUUAAGCGUGUAGGCUGGUUUUCCAGGCAAAUCCGGAAAACUAAGGCUGAGGCGUGAUGACGAGGCACUACGGUGCUGAAGCAACAAAUGCCCUGCUUCCAGGAAAAGCCUCUAAGCAUCAGGUAACAUCAAAUCGUACCCCAAACCGACACAGGUGGUCAGGUAGAGAAUACCAAGGCGCUUGAGAGAACUCGGGUGAAGGAACUAGGCAAAAUGGUGCCGUAACUUCGGGAGAAGGCACGCUGAUAUGUAGGUGAAGUCCCUCGCGGAUGGAGCUGAAAUCAGUCGAAGAUACCAGCUGGCUGCAACUGUUUAUUAAAAACACAGCACUGUGCAAACACGAAAGUGGACGUAUACGGUGUGACGCCUGCCCGGUGCCGGAAGGUUAAUUGAUGGGGUCAGCGCAAGCGAAGCUCUUGAUCGAAGCCCCGGUAAACGGCGGCCGUAACUAUAACGGUCCUAAGGUAGCGAAAUUCCUUGUCGGGUAAGUUCCGACCUGCACGAAUGGCGUAAUGAUGGCCAGGCUGUCUCCACCCGAGACUCAGUGAAAUUGAACUCGCUGUGAAGAUGCAGUGUACCCGCGGCAAGACGGAAAGACCCCGUGAACCUUUACUAUAGCUUGACACUGAACAUUGAGCCUUGAUGUGUAGGAUAGGUGGGAGGCUUUGAAGUGUGGACGCCAGUCUGCAUGGAGCCGACCUUGAAAUACCACCCUUUAAUGUUUGAUGUUCUAACGUUGACCCGUAAUCCGGGUUGCGGACAGUGUCUGGUGGGUAGUUUGACUGGGGCGGUCUCCUCCUAAAGAGUAACGGAGGAGCACGAAGGUUGGCUAAUCCUGGUCGGACAUCAGGAGGUUAGUGCAAUGGCAUAAGCCAGCUUGACUGCGAGCGUGACGGCGCGAGCAGGUGCGAAAGCAGGUCAUAGUGAUCCGGUGGUUCUGAAUGGAAGGGCCAUCGCUCAACGGAUAAAAGGUACUCCGGGGAUAACAGGCUGAUACCGCCCAAGAGUUCAUAUCGACGGCGGUGUUUGGCACCUCGAUGUCGGCUCAUCACAUCCUGGGGCUGAAGUAGGUCCCAAGGGUAUGGCUGUUCGCCAUUUAAAGUGGUACGCGAGCUGGGUUUAGAACGUCGUGAGACAGUUCGGUCCCUAUCUGCCGUGGGCGCUGGAGAACUGAGGGGGGCUGCUCCUAGUACGAGAGGACCGGAGUGGACGCAUCACUGGUGUUCGGGUUGUCAUGCCAAUGGCACUGCCCGGUAGCUAAAUGCGGAAGAGAUAAGUGCUGAAAGCAUCUAAGCACGAAACUUGCCCCGAGAUGAGUUCUCCCUGACUCCUUGAGAGUCCUGAAGGAACGUUGAAG
rnacentral:rRNA from 1 species